CCUACGGGGGGCAGCAGUCGGGAAUAUUGCGCAAUGGAGGAAACUCUGACGCAGCGACGCCGCGUGCAGGAAGAAGGUUUUCGGAUUGUAAACUGCUUUAGACAGGGAAGAAAAAAGACAGUACCGGGAGAAUAAGCGCCGGCUAACUACGUGCCAGCAGCCGCGGUAAGAGGUAGGGAGCAAGCGUUAUCCGGAUUUAUUGGGUGUAAAGGGUGCGUAGAAGGGGAAGCCAGUUAGUUGUGAAAUCCCUCGGCUUAACUGAGGAACUGCAACUAAAACUACUUCCCUUGAGUACUGGAGAGGAAAGUGGAAUUCCUAGUUUAGCGGUGAAAUGCUUAGAUAUUAGGCGGCACACCAGUGGCGAAGGCGACUUUCUGGACCGUAACUGACGUU
rnacentral:rRNA from 1 species